GGGUUGUGAGGUUAAGCGACUAAGCGUACACGGUGGAUGCCCUGGCAGUCAGAGGCGAUGAAGGACGUGCUAAUCUGCGAUAAGCGUCGGUAAGGUGAUAUGAACCGUUAUAACCGGCGAUUUCCGAAUGGGGAAACCCAGUGUGAUUCGUCACACUAUCAUUAACUGAAUCCAUAGGUUAAUGAGGCGAACCGGGGGAACUGAAACAUCUAAGUACCCCGAGGAAAAGAAAUCAACCGAGAUUCCCCCAGUAGCGGCGAGCGAACGGGGAGCAGCCCAGAGCCUGAAUCAGUGUGUGUGUUAGUGGAAGCGUCUGGAAAGGCGCGCGAUACAGGGUGACAGCCCCGUACACAAAAAUGCACAUGCUGUGAGCUCGAUGAGUAGGGCGGGACACGUGGUAUCCUGUCUGAAUAUGGGGGGACCAUCCUCCAAGGCUAAAUACUCCUGACUGACCGAUAGUGAACCAGUACCGUGAGGGAAAGGCGAAAAGAACCCCGGCGAGGGGAGUGAAAAAGAACCUGAAACCGUGUACGUACAAGCAGUGGGAGCACGCUUAGGCGUGUGACUGCGUACCUUUUGUAUAAUGGGUCAGCGACUUAUAUUCUGUAGCAAGGUUAACCGAAUAGGGGAGCCGAAGGGAAACCGAGUCUUAACUGGGCGUUAAGUUGCAGGGUAUAGACCCGAAACCCGGUGAUCUAGCCAUGGGCAGGUUGAAGGUUGGGUAACACUAACUGGAGGACCGAACCGACUAAUGUUGAAAAAUUAGCGGAUGACUUGUGGCUGGGGGUGAAAGGCCAAUCAAACCGGGAGAUAGCUGGUUCUCCCCGAAAGCUAUUUAGGUAGCGCCUCGUGAAUUCAUCUCCGGGGGUAGAGCACUGUUUCGGCAAGGGGGUCAUCCCGACUUACCAACCCGAUGCAAACUGCGAAUACCGGAGAAUGUUAUCACGGGAGACACACGGCGGGUGCUAACGUCCGUCGUGAAGAGGGAAACAACCCAGACCGCCAGCUAAGGUCCCAAAGUCAUGGUUAAGUGGGAAACGAUGUGGGAAGGCCCAGACAGCCAGGAUGUUGGCUUAGAAGCAGCCAUCAUUUAAAGAAAGCGUAAUAGCUCACUGGUCGAGUCGGCCUGCGCGGAAGAUGUAACGGGGCUAAACCAUGCACCGAAGCUGCGGCAGCGACGCUUAUGCGUUGUUGGGUAGGGGAGCGUUCUGUAAGCCUGCGAAGGUGUGCUGUGAGGUAUGCUGGAGGUAUCAGAAGUGCGAAUGCUGACAUAAGUAACGAUAAAGCGGGUGAAAAGCCCGCUCGCCGGAAGACCAAGGGUUCCUGUCCAACGUUAAUCGGGGCAGGGUGAGUCGACCCCUAAGGCGAGGCCGAAAGGCGUAGUCGAUGGGAAACAGGUUAAUAUUCCUGUACUUGGUGUUACUGCGAAGGGGGGACGGAGAAGGCUAUGUUGGCCGGGCGACGGUUGUCCCGGUUUAAGCGUGUAGGCUGGUUUUCCAGGCAAAUCCGGAAAAUCAAGGCUGAGGCGUGAUGACGAGGCACUACGGUGCUGAAGCAACAAAUGCCCUGCUUCCAGGAAAAGCCUCUAAGCAUCAGGUAACAUCAAAUCGUACCCCAAACCGACACAGGUGGUCAGGUAGAGAAUACCAAGGCGCUUGAGAGAACUCGGGUGAAGGAACUAGGCAAAAUGGUGCCGUAACUUCGGGAGAAGGCACGCUGAUAUGUAGGUGAAGUCCCUCGCGGAUGGAGCUGAAAUCAGUCGAAGAUACCAGCUGGCUGCAACUGUUUAUUAAAAACACAGCACUGUGCAAACACGAAAGUGGACGUAUACGGUGUGACGCCUGCCCGGUGCCGGAAGGUUAAUUGAUGGGGUCAGCGCAAGCGAAGCUCUUGAUCGAAGCCCCGGUAAACGGCGGCCGUAACUAUAACGGUCCUAAGGUAGCGAAAUUCCUUGUCGGGUAAGUUCCGACCUGCACGAAUGGCGUAAUGAUGGCCAGGCUGUCUCCACCCGAGACUCAGUGAAAUUGAACUCGCUGUGAAGAUGCAGUGUACCCGCGGCAAGACGGAAAGACCCCGUGAACCUUUACUAUAGCUUGACACUGAACAUUGAGCCUUGAUGUGUAGGAUAGGUGGGAGGCUUUGAAGUGUGGACGCCAGUCUGCAUGGAGCCGACCUUGAAAUACCACCCUUUAAUGUUUGAUGUUCUAACGUGGACCCGUAAUCCGGGUUGCGGACAGUGUCUGGUGGGUAGUUUGACUGGGGCGGUCUCCUCCUAAAGAGUAACGGAGGAGCACGAAGGUUGGCUAAUCCUGGUCGGACAUCAGGAGGUUAGUGCAAUGGCAUAAGCCAGCUUGACUGCGAGCGUGACGGCGCGAGCAGGUGCGAAAGCAGGUCAUAGUGAUCCGGUGGUUCUGAAUGGAAGGGCCAUCGCUCAACGGAUAAAAGGUACUCCGGGGAUAACAGGCUGAUACCGCCCAAGAGUUCAUAUCGACGGCGGUGUUUGGCACCUCGAUGUCGGCUCAUCACAUCCUGGGGCUGAAGUAGGUCCCAAGGGUAUGGCUGUUCGCCAUUUAAAGUGGUACGCGAGCUGGGUUUAGAACGUCGUGAGACAGUUCGGUCCCUAUCUGCCGUGGGCGCUGGAGAACUGAGGGGGGCUGCUCCUAGUACGAGAGGACCGGAGUGGACGCAUCACUGGUGUUCGGGUUGUCAUGCCAAUGGCACUGCCCGGUAGCUAAAUGCGGACGAGAUAAGUGCUGAAAGCAUCUAAGCACGAAACUUGCCCCGAGAUGAGUUCUCCCUGACUCCUUGAGAGUCCUGAAGGAACGUUGAAGACGACGACGUUGAUAGGCCGGGUGUGUAAGCGCAGCGAUGCGUUGAGCUAACCGGUACUAAUGAACCGUGAGGCUUAACCUUACAACGCCGAAG
rnacentral:rRNA from 1 species